GGGCGCUUAGCUCAGUUGGUUAGAGCGCGUGCUUCACACGCACGAGGUCGCAGGUUCGAGUCCUGCAGUGCCCACCA
rnacentral:tRNA from 1 species